CUCAAAUAAGGGAUCUUCUUGGGACCAGGACUGAAUGAAGGUGGGAGAGAGGGUGUGUCUCACGGGGCCCAGGAGGGAGAAAUUGUGGUUCUGAGAAGGUAUUUUUUGGCCUCUUGAAAAUGUGCAAGAAUUCCGCGGGCCCAGGCUUUCUUUGUGUGGCGGGCAGCGCCAAGCGCUUUGUGCUUCACAAGGAGAAAAUGGCGAGUCCUAUUGUGUUUAGGCCAUUUUCUUCCGGUACCAGAAUUUUCCCAAGUUCGAAAUACUUCUUCAGAAAGUAGCCUUCUCACGCCCAGGAAAGUGUGAAUCGCUGAGGCUCGGCCCCAUGGCCUGGCGUGGGUGCCGACCUCAGUUUAAAACCAAGGGCCUGUUUUCUUACCGUUGGGAUACUUGUAUCAAAGCACAGAUAUGACCGGUUUGUGCUGAUCGGUGUCCUCCAAAGAUCAACAGCGGCUCUUGGGGUUUGGGAAAAUAAGUGCCUAUUUAAAUAUGCAUAUAUACAUACAUAUUUAAAACAUAUUUUUCCUGAUAAUGUGAAGGAGAAAAUAAAAAACGAAAGACAAUUACAUUUUUGAAAGAGAAUAUUUCUUUCCCUUUCUCCUUUCUCCCCCUCAAGGAAACCCCAAGAGAUGUUAAAUGUUACUCUGCCGGGUCAGUCUUUUGUUUUUUAAACUGAAGAUGAAAUGCUAUUUUGGAUGGAAGAAUUAUUCCUCAUCUUAGCCACUGGAACAUAUGCUUUGCUAGAAAAAAAAAAUGUAAGACGUUAGAGAUGGAUUUAGUUUAAUGCUCUUAGCCUGUGUGUGUGUGUGUGUGUGUGCUAUCUAUAUGCCUCUAUAUAGCGAUAUAAAUAUGGAGAGAGAAAUGAUUGAAAAGGUUGUUUGGCUUUUGCCCCUGAAUUUGUCAUUUUUGUAAUUUUUCCGCACUUGUUAAACCAUAUAUAAAAGUGGAAAAGGAUGCCUAUACAAGAAUGUCUAUGUCUCUUUUGAAAACCGCCAAAAGAAUAUUGCAGGUUGAAAGAUAUUAUUUCCUAUUUACUACAAUUAUUUGGAUCUUUCAAUGGAGUGGUGGUUUUGUCAACUCAAAAAUAAUGAAAUGCAAACUUUCCCUAUCUGCUUCCUGUACCUUCAAUUUGGUGGCAAAUAUAGAAAAAUGAAAACAACUGGGAUGGGGAAGAGAACUUAAAGCCUAUAGCGUUUCCCCCUUUUGAUAUCAUUUUAAAAUGCUAGGGAGUCUAAUUUGUGCAGAAGCGUUGUGACUUUCAUUUUUCAAAAGGUAACACUAGCAUAUUCUUUCAUGUGGAUCAAGACCAUGGACAGCGAACUAAUAUUAAAUCACUGAGCAAAAAGGACUCUAAUAAAAUGUUGAGACCUGAGUGGAAGUUUACAUUCAAAACAUGUUAGAAGUGAAACAUAAUCUUUUUGGUCUUUAAGAGGAAUUUUAGACUGGUAAAAUGUGGCAUUUCAAACUUAUUCUACCAAGUUUCAAAGAAACAAUGAUUAUGUGUUCAGUUUUUAUCCUGCCUUGAAUAGUAUGUAUUAUUUAUCCAAUUAAAAUAAGAUAAAGCCCACCUUUUGGUACUGGUACAUAUAAAAUUUAAAUCUAUCAUUUUUAGAUGUAGAAUGUUUUUCAUAAGGCCUUGAAACAGAAUGGGGAUAGAGAAAUUUUACUAUUUCAGACUGGCAUUGGCUGAAUGACACUACAGAAAAUUAAAUUGAUUUUUAUCAGUGACUGAAUUUCUAAAUGCAUAAAAUUGGGAAAAUUAAAUGCCACUUUGAUAGACAGGAAUAAUAUGAAUGGAGAUAUAAUCCAGCUAUUCCUUUUACCCCUGUGUAGGCAUUGUACUCUAUAACUGACAGUGCAAUGUUGUGAGCAAGCAUUUAUUUUUUUUCCAAGAAAGUCACAGAUUUUUUCAUAUAUACUGAUUAGAUUUGGGGCACAGGAUUGGUUCAGUGUGGCUCUGUGCUGGAGAUCAGCUUAUUUUGUUUUAUACAUUGUUUGAAUAGUCUUUACUCCUUUACAGAAUUAAAAUUCAUUUAAAACAAUUUCAUUUGUGGAUUACAUAACUUAUUCAAAAUUGCUCAUUUAAAUUUCCAGUUUAAUAUGUCUUUUGGCUUAUUUCAUAACCUGACUUUAGUGUGAACUGUAAAGGCCUGGAAAAUCAUAUAAAGCAAAAACAGAAUGCAGGUUAGAAAAAUUAAAAUAGUUUAUAAUUAAGUUAAAAUUACAUCAAUUUAAAAGGACCUUGGAGUUUAUAAAUAAAGUAAUUUUUGAUCUUUAUUCAUCAGCUUUGGCUAUAAAAUGAAACUGCAGUUCUUUGAAUGUGCAGGUUGCUAGAAUUGGAUGCUACAUAUAUUUUGAACACACACAUUUAUUUUAAUAUUUUAUUUUUAGACAACGUAUUCAAAGUACUUGAGAAGAAUAUGCAAUGACAUUUUUUCCGUGUCCUAAUCAGGACCAUGGUGAGGUCCCCGUGAUUUACCUAGUGGUGGUCCAGGGCUCUGGUUGGGACGCUGAGUUAUGUUGGCAAAGAGUCAUUGUUUUGAAAGGCACAUUCGUCCGGCAUGGCAUUCGUGAUAAGAUUAAGCAUAAACCUAAACCUUGGCCUGGGGGGAAGGAAGGCUGCGGGGUUGAAAAGAGGAGAUGCAGAUUAGCUCUGCUUUUGCUGCUUGCGCACGUAAUUAAGAGGCGGUCCCUCAGCUGGAGCGUGGGCUCUGUCCGGUCUAAGGUGCUUAUUUUCCUGUUACUUGGCCAACCAAGUGUGAGUGAACAGGAGCCCGAGAGCUUAAAUGCGGGAUCUAGAUAAGGUGUCGACGGGUUGUGGGCGCUUGUCUCCAUGUUAGGGAGAGGCAGCUGAGAACGGUGACUUUGGCUUGUUUUGAGAGAGCUUGGGUUUUGACAGCAGGACGGCGAAGGGAGCGCUUGGAGAGGCUGGAAGCUCGACGUCUUAGGGAGCUGCCUACGGGCACUGGGUUGACGCCAAGGGGUUGUCGGCAAGGGCAGGGCUCUUGCCCUCUGCUGUACCCAGGCUCUGCAAUUGGGGGCUGCAAGCCUUCUGCGGCUCUUUGGUUUCAAGGACACAGCGAGCUGCUCAGGACUUUGGGAGCCAACAUCUGUCUGACUGGUGACGUCAGCAGCCCGUGUAAUCCUCUUGUGCUGAAGGCAGAUGCCUUAUUUGUUUGGCUGGAGCGAGCCAUUAAUCCCUAAUUCUGGAUCAGCAAGCGAGGGGGAAAGACCGGACCGCUCCGACCCACCCCCUCCCUACCCCCACCUCCCACCUUAAAGCACCUUAUACCACAGAAGCCUCUCAGCCUCUUCUUUCCUCUGCGAACGCGCUGAGCAGCGAUUGAAAACGUUUUGGUUCUCUCCAGGGGCGCAUUCUGGGGUCUCUGCGCAAGACCAGCUCUCAGCUCUCUCUCCUUUCCUCGGACUCUGGAGCGGGAGCGGGCCUUUUCCUCGGGCCGAUCACGCCGUAGGGGACGCCAUGAAAAGAGCCGUCGCGCCCGCUGCCUCCUGCCCGCUGCGCAGAGGGCUCCGCCCGUAGAGGUCAACUUCCCUCACCCUUUCCUCUCUCCUGCUCGCCCUCCCUCCGCUCGGCCCAGGCGCUUCCAGCCGCAGACUCUGGCCACAGGCUGAGGAGUGCGAGUCGGCUGCGCUGCCCUGAGCCGAAUCGCCCUUCCGGGCCCAGACCCGAGUUCCGCGCUCCCGGGCAGUGGGAAAGCUUUAGUGAGCAGCCUUUUCUCUCCGCAGCAAACUCGUAGCCAGACCAGAUGGGCCGCCCAGCUCUCUCGGGACUAGGCAGGUGCGGUUGAGUUAAUUUUUCCGCAUUACAAAGAAAGAUGACCCAGCCCGCCCUCGGACUCUCUUUUCCCAAAAUCUCCCAACCAAACCCGCGGUAACGUUAUCAGAGGACACAGAGACCAGGCAUAUCUGUGUGUUUAUCUUACAGGCACACAGGCAUGUUUGUUUUCUCUUUUAUGUGCUAGAUUUCAUCCCUGACAGCAGAAAAUGAUUGGCAACGAUUCUGACGGAGAACAUGCAAUGGCGUGGUCCUUAAAAACCUGCCAUUCCUUACAAGUGCCUUAGAAAGGAUUCAGGGCGGACCAACUGGGUUAAUUACAUUCAGUAAAAUAACACUAUUACAAAAUUA